rnacentral:lncRNA from 10 species
CAGGAGGCUGAAGCACGAGAAUCGCUUGAACCCAGGAGGCAGAGGUUGCAGUAAGCCAAGACUGCACCACUGCUCUCCAGCCUGGGUGACAGAGUGAGACUCCGUCUCAAAAAAAGAAAAAAAAAAUUUUUUUUUUUGAAUAGGGAAUACUUUCGUGUGUUUCAGACUAAAAAAUUGAUUUUAUAUGUAUUUAUAAUUACACACAUAUACGUAUGCAGUAAAGUUUCAUUUUUACUUGUCCUUCAGCCACCAUUUCCUUUCCUCUUACACACUAAUAUUUUCAGUUUCUUAUUUAUCCUUCCAGUUAUUUUAUGGACAUACCAGUAAAUACACACAUAUAUUAAUAUAUCCAGUAUUUUCCCCAUCUCUUUUUUGCACAACCCCUUAAAUAUACUUAAAAUAAAACAGAACAACAAAUUUUUCGUAAACAAAAUUUAAUACAACCAUAUAGUCAAGUAAUAAUGGUUAAAAGACAUUUUAUUAGAUACAACUUUUAAAAAAUUAAACUAUGCAAGAAGUAUAUUUAAACAAAACAUGUAAGUAAGUAUUCACGUGCUACAACUUAACUAAGAACAAUUAAAUACAAAGCAUUCUUUCCACUAUGAAGACUCUGGAGCCUCUAAUUGAAAGCAAAUGACCUUAGGUCUAUACUAGUUGUAAAGCAGAUUAUACUUUUGUUCAACUCUAAAUUUGUAUUGUCUUAGAGCUCCAACAACUCUCAAUAAAAAUUUAAAUAAAGAAACCUUGGGGGAGGGGUGAUGUAAACCUGGCUUUCAAUAAGAUGCACAACAAAUUCUAAUAAGGCCAAAACUCUGUUGAGGUUAACUGGUGUCUUGAGUUUACUAAAAUAAAGGCAGUCCAUAGGAAGCCUCAAAGAGACAUUAUCUUACCACUUGGCACCACAAAAACACCAAGCUCUCCUCUCUGAAAAUACAGGCCGGGGGUGGUGGCUCACGCCUGUAAUCCCAGCACUUUGGGAGGCCGAGGUGGGCGGAUCACGUGGUCAGGAGUGAUCCGUCUCUACUAAACCCCGUCUCUACUAAAAAUACAAAAAAAUUAGCCGGGUGUGGUGGCACGCACCUGUGGUCUCAGCUACUCGGGAGGCUGAGGCAGAAUCCCUUGAACCCGGGAGGUGGAGGUUGCAGUCAGCUGAGAUCGCGCCACUGCACUCCAGCCUGGGCGACAGAGCAAGACCCCGUUCUCCCCCCUUCCCCAAAAAAAAAAAAAAACGAAAAAAAUACAGUUUGAAGUAGAUGUCGUCUUUUCCACAUAUAAAUCUCAAGACAUAAAAGGCACACACAAUUCAACUCCUCUCUUUUCAUAUAUGGGUUCUCACAGCAAUUUAAAAAAUCUAUUGCCAUAUCCAGACAACAGGAGAAAAAAAAAAUACCUGGUUUGCUUAUUGACAAAAGUGGUGUAAUUGAACCUUUGUCUUUCCUGAGUUUCAAAAAGGCUAUUUGACAGUAGAGAUACAUAAACAAUUCAUAUUCAGUAAGAUAAAAUGUAUCAGUCCACAAAACAUUUUCAUCUUUUUAAGUAUAAAAGAAUCAAUGUUCAACCACCACCAUGUGUGAAGCCCCUUUUUCCAAAUUAAACUUACUCUAGAAUCAUGAAUUGAAGAUUAUUCAGUCAUGGCACUUUACACCCCAAACGAGCAAAAGUAACAAGUUAAUACCCUCCCUGAGUAUUUACAUCAUCUUAUCACCUGGUUUAAAUGGAGUAAAUACCUAUAUUUCAAUCAUCUAGGAAAUAAAAAGGUUACUGAAGAUCCAAUACACUAGUAUUUCAUACCUGUGCAGUAAAGUCAGUGGGAAGAUUACAGUAGAAAAGGAGGAAGUUCUACUGUUGUAAAAAUUAGACCACUUUUGUAGCUGACUCACAUAGAGGAAAAACAGAAAAUGAUUAAAGUUCAUGAAAAAAAAACUAUACUUUUCUGUUCUACAAAGCAUACCUUUGAAUUCCCUUUCCAACUGAGGUAUCACAGCUGGGUUUAGCAAACUCAUCUCUUCUGACCUUGUAAAACUAAAUUGUCAUAAAGAUUCUGAUUAUACAUAAGUCAUCGUUACUAAUACUCAUCAUGUACUUUCAAAUGUAAAAAGUUCUAGAAAUGCCCAAAUAAAAAAAAAUUCCAGAAUUGAAUUUAGCAUGGUCAACUAAUUUUUACUUUAUGUGCUUUUUUGCUGAUCAUCACAGACUGCUAAAAUUCAUGGUGUUUGGUAUAUAUGUGUGUAUACAACCAUACUAUCUACAUACAUACACAUGUACAUAUAUAGAUUCUAAACCAAAGGUUCAUAUGAGCAUCACCUAUCAAAAGAAAAAUCUUUAUGUGAUGAGAGAAUGAAUACAAUCUGACACCAAUUUGGUUGAUAUACCCCUUUUGAUAUAUUAAUUCUACUCUAAAAUUCUUUUUUAUUUUAUCAAGUCUAAUGCUAUUAUUUAUCAAGAAUUAGUAAAGGAAGAUAAAUAUUAAAAAAUUAAAAUAUUAAGUUGGGUAACUUUAAAAAUAGUUAUUUAAAUUUUCUAAGAUUCAACCUAAGUUCUUGGUGGCCUUCAAUAUAAAUUUUAAGUACUUAAUUUAUGUAGUUUUAAAUUAUGUAGAGAAAAAAUUAAUAUUGGUGUGAGGUCUGUGUUUAAAAAAAUUCUGUUUUUCAGGAUUUCAUUUCAAAUUUACUAUAAUAAACACAUGGAUAUUAAAAUAAAUGUAUAACAAAAUAAAAGUAAAUAGUUAAUACUUUUUACAACAGAAAAAUACUAGAAUAUAAAGUUGUCUUGAGAAAGUCUUUUUUUAUGUGAAGUCCUAUAUUCAUGAAAUGGACAUGAUCUUACAAAUACACAUGAAAAUAACAACUAUCAUUUGUAGAAUCCUCAGCAUUUACAAAAUACUUUUUCACACAUUAUCUCAUUUACUGUAAAGAAUUUCUUAACUAAAUAAUUCUAUUAUCUAUAAGAGUAUAAUGCAGAUGUUUACUCUAAAAUUAAAGUACAAGUAUCCAAACUGUACCUACAUUCUUUCAACUAAGAGGAUAGAAAAUUGUUUUCUGAAUUGUUGUUAUCACAAAAUGGUAUCUAUCAUUUUAAAAUUAUGAUUUGAAAAAUAAAAAUUCCCUAAAAAUUUUUAAGUUUUUUAGAGUUUUCCUCAGAAUGUAGAUUCUAGCUAAGCAUUAAAGUUUAAAAAAUGUCUAUCUGAAAUCUCUGAAUCAUUCUAAAAUGAGAAAACAAUGUAGCUUACCAAUGUUAGGCUUUUUAUUUCAACCUUGGUUUUAACAGAAAUCUGGUGACACUUUAAUUACAUAU